rnacentral:lncRNA from 1 species
GGAAUUUCUUUUGUAUUCACACAAAUAAAGGCAAGACCAAUAUGUCAUGUUGAUAAUAUGUCUCAAAGCGGAAGUUUACUGAUGUCCUUUAUCCCCAUCCUGCUCCAUCCUUUCUGACCCUCACUUAUCGGCUGUUCUCUGCUGAGCACCUCUCAUAUUGUUGGUAUAUUUACUGUGACUCUACCCCGAUCCUGCAUUUGCCACCAUCUUUUAAAUAUCUUUUUAAAACAGUAACGCCACAGCGGGGUCACGCUGGCCGUGGGCUGCUCUGGGCCCUGCACGUUGGUCCUUCUGACGGGAACGGGUCUAGCCUGCAGCAAAUGUCUUGCCCACCUAUAACUGUGUGUGUUUUUACAGGCAGCCAAGGAGUCAAGUAGAUGUUCCUAAAAAUGCAGGACUGUUGUGCUUGUGCAUCCUAGCUUGAGUACCUGAAGUGGCCCAACUCUUGCAGGGUAUCUGCAGCGCUUCUCUGGUUCACAGACAGGAUGUAACCUUAUGUAAGAUGGAAACCUGUGAAGAAAGAUACAGAUAGCAGUUGGAGUUAAAAGUAGCAGACGAAUAUUUCUCUUCUUAAGUGGCAAGGAGUGAAUGUGAUGGAUUUAUCUUCAGAAAUGAACAAACAUGGAAGGAAUCCAGUAAGUCACAAGCUAGAAGAUCAGAAGAAGGUUAAGACUGAGCUUCCCUGUCCUGCCCUUUUCUGGCAUAGCCAUUUCUGGCUCAGCUCAGUGACUGGGUACAGCCACUUUCUGAAUUACCAAGAGUUUGGUGGUCCAGCACUGUGGAGCCAGAGAAGAGCUGGGCUCCAGGACUCCUGCUGUACUCUCAAGACCAUUCAAAAGAGAGACGGGAGGGCGCUGCCACUGUUAUUGCAAAAAUGAAGCAACACUGAGCAACCCAACCUGUCCAGCUGUCCAGCUUCAUUAAGCGUCUGCUCUCUAAAGAGGGUUAGAUGAAUUGGAUAUUGCGUAGAAGACAUGGGUUCUUAGCGUGUCCCGCUAGAUUCCUGUGCAGGCACUGGAGACACCUAACACACCUACUUCAAGAACUGCAGCUCUGCUGGGCAGUCUACAGAAGCAUCUCCUCCUUUCCAUUGACUGUGCAGAGAACAUUAGGACUCGCUUUCGUAGGACUGAUUUAUCACCUUUCCUUUCCUGUUUAGAUACACUGGAUCUGGACUUUUGCUGCAGCCACGCAGUAACACAAACCUCCCUGGCUCACCUACUACCGUCCUAAUAUUAUUGGGAUGUCUACGGAAGACAGAGAACAGGAAGCACCUAGUGCAUAAUCUUUAACUGUAGUGCAGUGAUGUAGUUGAGGGCAGACCACAGCCAGGAUUAGGCAAAGAAUCAUGGGAAAGAAAAUAUCUCUGCAUCUUUCAUUGGUAAAUUGCAUAAUAGGACUGGAAAUUCCCUCACUGUAUGUAGCUUUGAUUUUUAUCUUUGCCAUGUUCUAACUGCCCAAUUUGAUACUGAGAGGACUGACCUGCAGAAGUGCUGAGCAGUUAUAUGGGCAAAUUUAGAUGAGAGAUGUGGUUUAGUCACUUUAAGAUUUCAAAGUAAGGCAUGGGUAUCUCCAGUUGGGCAUCCAGCAUCAGUGGACUUAGUUUAGUUUAAUCCCUGUAUUGCCUUGGCUGUUACUUCAACAUUAAAUUGAUCACCGCAUUACCACAUCAUAGAGAAACAGAAUGCUGUCCGUUCUGUCCAGUCUAUCACUAGGAGUAUACAUAAACGAGAUGAAAUAAAAUGGGACAAAAAGCUGUAAUUCUGACA